rfam:Acetivibrio ethanolgignens strain ACET-33324 ACET-33324.Scaf41, whole genome shotgun sequence.
AAGGUUCUUCGGGGCAGGGUGUAAUUCCCGACCGGCGGUAUAGUCCGCGACCCGUCCUUGUGGCGGCUGAAUUGGUGCAAUUCCAAUACCGACAGUAAAGUCUGGAUGUGAGAAGAAUUCG